UUAAGCGACUAAGCGUACACGGUGGAUGCCCUGGCAGUCAGAGGCGAUGAAGGACGUGCUAAUCUGCGAAAAGCGUCGGUAAGGUGAUAUGAACCGUUAUAACCGGCGAUGUCCGAAUGGGGAAACCCAGUGCAAUUCGUUGCACUAUCGUUAACUGAAUACAUAGGUUAACGAGGCGAACCGGGGGAACUGAAACAUCUAAGUACCCCGAGGAAAAGAAAUCAACCGAGAUUCCCCCAGUAGCGGCGAGCGAACGGGGAGCAGCCCAGAGUCUGAAUCAGCUUGUGUGUUAGUGGAACGGUCUGGAAAGUCCGACGGUACAGGGUGAUAGUCCCGUACACCAAAAUGCACAGGUUGUGAACUCGAAGAGUAGGGCGGGACACGUGGUAUCCUGUCUGAAUAUGGGGGGACCAUCCUCCAAGGCUAAAUACUCCUGACUGACCGAUAGUGAACCAGUACCGUGAGGGAAAGGCGAAAAGAACCCCGGCGAGGGGAGUGAAAAAGAACCUGAAACCGUGUACGUACAAGCAGUGGGAGCACCUUCGGGUGUGACUGCGUACCUUUUGUAUAAUGGGUCAGCGACUUAUAUUCUGUAGCAAGGUUAACCGUAUAGGGGAGCCGCAGGGAAACCGAGUCUUAACUGGGCGUUAAGUUGCAGGGUAUAGACCCGAAACCCGGUGAUCUAGCCAUGGGCAGGUUGAAGGUUGGGUAACACUAACUGGAGGACCGAACCGACUAAUGUUGAAAAAUUAGCGGAUGACUUGUGGCUGGGGGUGAAAGGCCAAUCAAACCGGGAGAUAGCUGGUUCUCCCCGAAAGCUAUUUAGGUAGCGCCUCGUGAAUUCAUCUUCGGGGGUAGAGCACUGUUUCGGCUAGGGGGUCAUCCCGACUUACCAACCCGAUGCAAACUACGAAUACCGAAGAAUGUUAUCACGGGAGACACACGGCGGGUGCUAACGUCCGUCGUGAAGAGGGAAACAACCCAGACCGCCAGCUAAGGUCCCAAAGUCAUGGUUAAGUGGGAAACGAUGUGGGAAGGCACAGACAGCCAGGAUGUUGGCUUAGAAGCAGCCAUCAUUUAAAGAAAGCGUAAUAGCUCACUGGUCGAGUCGGCCUGCGCGGAAGAUGUAACGGGGCUAAACCAUGCACCGAAGCUGCGGCAGCGACACUAUGUGUUGUUGGGUAGGGGAGCGUUCUGUAAGCCUGCGAAGGUGUGCUGUGAGGCAUGCUGGAGGUAUCAGAAGUGCGAAUGCUGACAUAAGUAACGAUAAAGCGGGUGAAAAGCCCGCUCGCCGGAAGACCAAGGGUUCCUGUCCAACGUUAAUCGGGGCAGGGUGAGUCGACCCCUAAGGCGAGGCCGAAAGGCGUAGUCGAUGGGAAACAGGUUAAUAUUCCUGUACUUGGUGUUACUGCGAAGGGGGGACGGAGAAGGCUAUGUUAGCCGGGCGACGGUUGUCCCGGUUUAAGCAUGUAGGCUGAUUGUCCAGGCAAAUCCGGAUAAUCAAGGCUGAGGUGUGAUGACGAGGCACUACGGUGCUGAAGUAACAAAUGCCCUGCUUCCAGGAAAAGCCUCUAAGCAUCAGGUAACAUCAAAUCGUACCCCAAACCGACACAGGUGGUCAGGUAGAGAAUACCAAGGCGCUUGAGAGAACUCGGGUGAAGGAACUAGGCAAAAUGGUGCCGUAACUUCGGGAGAAGGCACGCUGGUGUGUAGGUGAAGUCCCUGCGGAUGGAGCUGAGACCAGUCGAAGAUACCAGCUGGCUGCAACUGUUUAUUAAAAACACAGCACUGUGCAAACACGAAAGUGGACGUAUACGGUGUGACGCCUGCCCGGUGCCGGAAGGUUAAUUGAUGGGGUUAUCCGUAAGGAGAAGCUCUUGAUCGAAGCCCCGGUAAACGGCGGCCGUAACUAUAACGGUCCUAAGGUAGCGAAAUUCCUUGUCGGGUAAGUUCCGACCUGCACGAAUGGCGUAAUGAUGGCCAGGCUGUCUCCACCCGAGACUCAGUGAAAUUGAACUCGCUGUGAAGAUGCAGUGUACCCGCGGCAAGACGGAAAGACCCCGUGAACCUUUACUAUAGCUUGACACUGAACAUUGAGCCUUGAUGUGUAGGAUAGGUGGGAGGCUUUGAAGCGUGGACGCCAGUCUGCGUGGAGCCAACCUUGAAAUACCACCCUUUAAUGUUUGAUGUUCUAACGUUGGCCCCUGACCGGGGUUGCGGACAGUGUCUGGUGGGUAGUUUGACUGGGGCGGUCUCCUCCCAAAGCGUAACGGAGGAGCACGAAGGUUAGCUAAUCCUGGUCGGACAUCAGGAGGUUAGUGCAAUGGCAUAAGCUAGCUUGACUGCGAGCGUGACGGCGCGAGCAGGUGCGAAAGCAGGUCAUAGUGAUCCGGUGGUUCUGAAUGGAAGGGCCAUCGCUCAACGGAUAAAAGGUACUCCGGGGAUAACAGGCUGAUACCGCCCAAGAGUUCAUAUCGACGGCGGUGUUUGGCACCUCGAUGUCGGCUCAUCACAUCCUGGGGCUGAAGUAGGUCCCAAGGGUAUGGCUGUUCGCCAUUUAAAGUGGUACGCGAGCUGGGUUUAGAACGUCGUGAGACAGUUCGGUCCCUAUCUGCCGUGGGCGCUGGAGAAUUGAGGGGGGCUGCUCCUAGUACGAGAGGACCGGAGUGGACGCAUCACUGGUGUUCGGGUUGUCAUGCCAAUGGCACUGCCCGGUAGCUAAAUGCGGAAGAGAUAAGUGCUGAAAGCAUCUAAGCACGAAACUUGCCCCGAGAUGAGUUCUCCCUGAGACUUUAAGUCUCCUGAAGGAACGUU
rnacentral:rRNA from 1 species